GGCCCUUCUGGUAGGUGUAUUUGGUUCUCUGAGAGCCAGGAUAAAUAGUGCCAAGUAUCUGCUGAGCUGAAUAGAUCAGUACACAAGCCAUUUCUUGCCAAUUUAUGAGGAUGCAUUGCAGUGAGGCUGAACCUACUUCUGUAGUUGAAAAGAGUCAAUUAAAACAGACAACAACACCAGCAAGCACACUAAGGUGUUGUGUGGGGAGGUUGGGUCUCUUCACCUCAAGCUCUAAAACCUGUUUCCCACUGUCAUGUGGUGCUGCAGGUACAGAUGUUCAACACGAGACAUCCUGGUUUUGAACUUCAGCUGAACAAAUGAAAACCUGAUUAUAA